GACGAACGCUGGCGGCGUGCUUAACACAUGCAAGUCGAACGGAAAGGCCCUGCUUUUGUGGGGUGCUCGAGUGGCGAACGGGUGAGUAACACGUGAGUAACCUGCCCUUGACUUUGGGAUAACUUCAGGAAACUGGGGCUAAUACCGGAUAGGAGCUCCUGCUGCAUGGUGGGGGUUGGAAAGUUUCGGCGGUUGGGGAUGGACUCGCGGCUUAUCAGCUUGUUGGUGGGGUAGUGGCUUACCAAGGCUUUGACGGGUAGCCGGCCUGAGAGGGUGACCGGCCACAUUGGGACUGAGAUACGGCCCAGACUCCUACGGGAGGCAGCAGUGGGGAAUAUUGCACAAUGGGCGGAAGCCUGAUGCAGCAACGCCGCGUGCGGGAUGACGGCCUUCGGGUUGUAAACCGCUUUCGCCUGUGACGAAGCGUGAGUGGCGGUAAUGGGUAAAGAAGCACCGGCUAACAACGUG
rnacentral:rRNA from 1 species